rnacentral:lncRNA from 1 species
CCCACUGGAACUGGAUGUUGGAUAUAGCAUUUCUUCAACAUCAAGAAAAUGGCCACACAUUUUUUUAAUUGUUUCCCUUGCAAAUAAUUUUUAAAUAGUCUUACAAAAAUGUUUUUCUUGCUUCACUCCCCAGUGAGUUAAAAAUGCACACCGACAUUGCCAGUUGGCAUAAUGUGUUGUGAUUCCAGCAGACAGCAAUGGGAAUGUAUGAAGUGAUGGUUGAGGUGAAGGACAGCGGAACUGCUUUUUCUUGCAGCAUGCAGUAUGCAAAAUGAUCCUUUUUAUUUUUAACUAAUUCCUUAAAGCAAAAGCUCUUCCCACCCACGAGUGUUGCCUAAUUGGGGGACAUGGAAAAUGAAUGAAGAAACAAUCCUCAAACAAGGAGUGUUUGCUGCUCCCAUUUCAGCACUAAUUAAUUACUGUUGUCAGUAAACUGAAAGUGUUCAUGGAAUUACAUUUUCCAGAGCCUUCACCUGGAUCUAAAGCUGGAUUUGAGUUCUGGUGGCGAGAAGUCUUCAGACAUAUUGGACUGAAGUU